GUAAUAGCUCACUGGUCGAGUCGGCCUGCGCGGAAGAUGUAACGGGGCUAAACCAUGCACCGAAGCUGCGGCAGCGACGCUUAUGCGUUGUUGGGUAGGGGAGCGUUCUGUAAGCCUGUGAAGGUGUACUGUGAGGUAUGCUGGAGGUAUCAGAAGUGCGAAUGCUGACAUAAGUAACGAUAAAGCGGGUGAAAAGCCCGCUCGCCGGAAGACCAAGGGUUCCUGUCCAACGUUAAUCGGGGCAGGGUGAGUCGA
rnacentral:rRNA from 1 species